rnacentral:piRNA from 1 species
UAUAAGCUGUGCAAGACAUUAGGGAUUUGA